UUUUUUUUAAUGUAAAAUCAUUGCUUUAAACCAGCACACAGACAUGUAGGUAUUUCCUUGCUGGAUCAGACAAAAUGUCUGGCCCCUGCCUUGUGCUCCUGAUACUGGCCAACACCUGUGUUCAAUUACCCCUCCUUCAGAGGGAUAGUCCUUCUGCUCAGAAGUUUGGGCGUUGCUGGUACUUCUCACUGUUUCCAUCCGAACGGAUGCAGGUACAUUCCUGUUGUCUGCCAGCCUUUGCCUCUGUUGGUUUUUAAUUUGUCCCUUUUAUUUUAUAUUUAAAGCAACAUAAACCAGAGUAGAUUCUGCAUGAGGAGUUAUAAAGGCAGAUGCUUCCUUUUGACAACCUUUAAUGGGACACUUUAUUUUACAGGGCAGAAAAGCCAUGUAACAAUUCUGUAAUUACAAAUGUGUAACUAUUGAGCGUAUAACUGGCUGGUAAGUAACCUGGAACUACAAGGUUAUUACACGGGCAUUUCUAUCUUCUGAAAUACUUUCCAGAAGGUCUCUCUUUAGAGAAGUGCAUGUUACAGGAUGAUGGCAACUGGAUGAUUGAGACAACUUCAUGUGUUGUCCUCUAUCUGGGAUGUGUAGUUGCUUUGUGGUCACUUGAUCUUAGCAGCUUCACUGCAGAGUGGUUGCACAGAUUUACAUGCCCUGUAAAAUAGCGAUGUCCGCUCUUUUUUGCCUGCAUCCGUGCAGUUUCAGAAAUUGUACGUUCCUCCUCCCCAGCUGCAGGUGGAAAAAAGCAAGCAGCAAAGUCAAAAGAAGAGUUAGCUCAGGAAAAGAAGAAAGAACUAGAAAAACGGUUACAGGACGUCAGUGGGCAGCUAAACAACAACAAGAAACCUGCAAAGAAAGAGAAAUCCGGCUCCGCUCCCUCCGGAGGCCCUUCCCGCCUCAGCAGCAGCAGCUCCUCCGAGUCCGGGAGCAGCAGCUCCAGCGGCUCCAGCUCGGACAGCAGCGACUCGGAAUGACUUACGGACACUUACACACACAAAAUGGACAUCACCCUCACCGAUGCUCUGCAGUGUUCCUUUUUCUUCUUAAUAUACUGCUCUUGUUCCACGGUGGUCAGGUUUUUUUUUUUUUCCCCUUUCUCUUUCUCUGACUUUUUUUUUUUAUUUUAUUUUUUAAUUCAGUGUUAUAAAAAGGUAUCUUCCAUUUUUUUUGGGGGUCGCUCUUUUAAUAGGUCAAAGAUCUUUGCGUGUGCGUGCGUGUGACAAGACUUUAUGACAAAACAGUUCCCUUUGCAUAAAGUCUCUAAAAUACAUUUUAACUGAAGAAGAUUGGUUGAAAAUGGAAGAACUUCGAACUCUUAGCAGGAGAUAAAUAGAAAGUUCUGCAAGGUUUGUAGUACGUUUCCCUCCCACCCCUUCCCUCUCCCCAAAAUGUUCUCUUUUAAUAAGCCUGCCUGGCUCACACAAGGUAAAAAAAAAUAAUCUUUUUUUAAAGAAAACUCUGUAAAAUGGUACUGUAUCUGAAAGAUGUUAGCUUUUGAACUAGUUGGUGUAUUUGUUAUUAGCACUAGUAUUCUUAAUCUCGAAGUCUACAGUGUGAUGAAAAUGCCAGAUGCUAUCAUCUUUUUACAUAAAAACAAAAAAAAACCCAAAAAAAUUCUCAUGUACUGUGGAUUGCUAACAUGCUUUUUUUUUUUAAAUCUUGGUAGAGGCAUAGGCACCUGUUCAGGAAGGUAUUUAAGCAUGAACUUAACUUUAGGCACAUGAGCAAUAGAAGUGGUUGCAUUUCUUGUUUUUCCACUCAAAAUUUUUCAUUUUUCUCGGGGGACGCAUUGGGAAGGCGGGAGCAAGGGACACUCAAGUUUCUUGGGAAUGUUAUUUUUUAACAUCAAAUAGAUAAUUUCCAGGAAAUUGACGCUCUCUAUGAAAUUUUUUUCAUUUAAUUGAAAACCAGUUUUUUGGCUGGAAGUUCUCAGCCGGGCCUGGGAGUGAUCCCUGCAGAGUGACCAAGGCAUGUCAUGUGCUCGUUAUUAGACACUUGCUUAAGUGCUUUCUCCAUGACAAGCACCUCUGUCUGGGCUUAAAAUAAAGGAGCACUCGAGCUCCAGCUGAGGCUGAGCUGGCAGCGGAUCUGGGGAGGGAUGUUGUGUGUGUUUGGGGUUGUUGUUUUUUUCUUUUUCCCCCCUCAUUUAUCAUUUCAGUAGUGAACUCCUAGAAGGGGAUUCUACUUCUGUGUCCUGCAGGGUGCAGGGUUGCAGACGCUGAAAUGCUUACCUCAAUAAAAAGAAAAAAGAGGGGAGGGAGAAAAAAAAAAGACGUUUUUUUAAGGCUUACAAGUUUUUUGAGUCCAGCCUAAUGUUUUGACCUGCACUGCUGCAAUAUGCUCUGUUUUCACUGUCCCUAAUUUUGUGUAUAUACAAAUACUUUAUUUAUUAAACACCAUUGGUCAUUUAAAACUUACUAAAAAAAAUAACAAAAGCCAAGCUGCAUUAUGUAGACCAGCAGAAGUGCAGACUUCUAAUGUGGUUUGAACCAGAUUAAAAAAAAAACAACAAAAACAACAAAACCAACAACAAAAGAGCAAAUAAAAAAUUGAGACUUUAUUUAAAUCCCAUGGACUUUAUACCUACAGGUGCUACAGUCCAGUUUGUCGUGUGUCUGGUGCUCUGUCACGUUCGGUGUGUUCAUUUUUUAUUUUCUCUCUUCUUCAUCUUUUCACCCCAGCCCCCUUUUUUCCUGUUUUGUACAGAUUUUGGAGACAUACAGAUAAAUAUAAUUCCUUGAUGCAGCACAUUAUUAUUAUCAUCUCUGUAAUAUUUCCAGAGGUCUUUUUCACCUUUUUUUUUUUGUUGUAGAACAGUGGCUUUUUUCUUUUAUAAUCCAGUUUUAGGAAAACACCAGUUCUAUAAUUAUAUAAAAUUUGUAAUCCAAGGGGCAGAAAUUUAUUGUAAAUUCUUAACUUUUUAUUGUAAAGAAAAAAAAAUAUACAGAGUUUAACAGAAAGUUAUGCCUUUCCUUCUCCCAGACCAGCCCCUAAGGCUGCCCCUCUGCUGUGGGGCAGCCCUAAAAUUCACCCUGCUGUGGUCUCUAACAGUGGUUUGCCAGAGGCUGCGCGGUGCGGAUUGCACCAGCGUUUAUUUUUCAUGUAGGUUUGUGGCCCUGGAAGACUCCUCAGCCCCAGCACAGGGUUUUGGCUCAGCCUUCAGGAGCUGGGACGCGCGGUGUCUGGGGGUGAUGUCCUUUUGCUGGGUGAGCCCAGGGACAGCCCGUGAUUAGCACUCCAUGGUUUGCACUUGUAACUGCAUCCACACUCAGCUGCUGGUCACUUAUUGCCCAUCCACUGAGGUUUUAUUUAAUUAGCUAAACAUGCAUCUAUCUUUAAAGAUCUCUCUCUCAAAGCUCAGCAUUUCAGAGCGCUCAGCCGUGCUCAUAGGGCUGACAUACCUCUGUCUGUGUCUAUCUGUGUAGUGACAAUAACCCUCUAUCCACAGUUUGCUGUAGAAAAGAACUCCCUUUUUUUUAAUCAGAGGGCUGAGAGCGCGAUGCUGUGUUGUUGUGAGGCACCGAGUUCCUCCUGUGAGUUGCUGGGCAUCCUUGGCUGGUUUUGCAAUGCCCAGGGUGCUUGGCCGGUUGGCAGGAAGCUCUCCAGUCUCUGCAGGUAGCUUCCUGUAGUAUUUCAAAGUGGAUGAACUAGGGUGAUUCUUACUGAAAGUGAUGAUUUUUCUUUUCCAUUAACAAUGGAGUUAUUUUUAGUUCAUGUGUUUAAUUCUGCCCUUAAAGAAAUCUUCACUUAGACAGGUCCUUAGUAAUAUAUUUGCAGACUUUACUAUGAGGAAAUGUAAUAUACACCUAAUUAAGAGCUUAGGUUGGUUGUUGUUUUUCUUUUUUAAACGGGGUUGGGUUCCAUCUGUGUUUCUCCUAUUGUCUGAGACUUGCAUUAUCAAAACCAGCUAGUGUUUUAAUUAAAAUAAUUUGAACUGAUUCAGUAGCAUGCCAACUUGGAUAAACCAGCUCCCAGUUUUCCCUGCUUGAAACCUUUUUCCCCGUGCGUUAACCGGAGCCGUGCCGUUGAUGGGACGUGGUGGUUGCUCCUGUGGAGAACAAACUGCAGUUGUGUUGGAGGCCAUAGACACCUGCCUGGUGGCCACCAUCACAGCAUCAGCACCAGGCAAAGCCCAGGACCUGGCUCUGCACUGCACCACCGUCCUCCAACAUCAGGGACAACCCCGUGGAGCGUGGCCCAGGGUACAGACGUUCCUCUAGGACAUACAGGUCUGUCCCACCAAAAUCAGCGGAGGGGUUAGAGCCAAAGGGUUGGGGACCAAGGGAUGGAAAGGGGCCUGGCCUGAGACUGUCUGCAGCGCUGGAGGAGGAGCCCUGUUUUAGUGGGCUAAACCUGUCCCUGGCUUGGGGAUUUGCAAGGAAAACAAGCAACCAAAACCAGCAAGGAAUACGAAGAACCACCUGCUUGUCUUUGAUACACUCAACUGCGACCUGGGCUACCACUCAGUGGGAAACUUCUUGUUUUCAUGGAAAUGGCCGUUCACAGGAGAAAUCCCUUUUGGCAUGAGCCUUGCAGGAAAGAAAUCGGUGACUCUUCAUUUCAAAAUGUUCUUACACUUUUUCAUUUUCGUGUUGUUUGUAGUGUUCACUAUCUCCCGCCAUGUCAGUAGUGGUGCCUCUUGUUAUCUCCAGAUCAGAGUGUCUCCAGGAAAGAAGAGAUGUUUUCAGUCCAUAGUAAGUAGCAGCAGCCCUUAAUGAGUUGGAAACUGAAACAAUAGAGCAUUUAUUUGAGUUUGUGUGACAUGUCAGUACAGAUGUCAUGAAAUAACUUUACGAUUGAACCUAGAACAUUUGAAAUAACAUUUUUAAACUUAAGAAUAAAAAAAAAAAGAUUGAAGUUUUUAUGGUAGAAUUUUUCUUGAACGAACAAAGUUUAACUUUGUUUUCCAGGGGAAACGUCACUGAAAUCGGUAUGAUUUCAUAUGUAUACGUGCACACAAAUAGUUUUACUGAAACUUGUUUUUUUUCCUGAGCAGUUCCUCUUUUGACAAAAUAUCUGACCAGACCUAUUAUCGCUCAACCAGCAUUUACUGCACCUUUAAAACCUUUGUUAACCUUUUGUCUGAUGGUGAGAUCAGCCUGUUCCUUGGCAGUAGCAUCAGGUGUAGGCUCAGUGGGGCCAGAGGGAGACCCCCAUCCCGUGGGCUCAGGCUGGGAUCUGUCUCCUGAAGGGAACAUGAUGCCUACGGCACUUCUCUGCUCAAAAACAUCUGUGCAAAACCCUCUCCCAGCCUUGUAGCGAUGGUGAUGGCAAACUUUUCCUACCGACAGGGUUUGUAACUGUAGAAAACUGAUAUUUCAGGACUGUGUCGCUGUUGGUUGUGAGUGUGUGUCUGAGACAGGUGCACACCCACAGACACGUGUGUGCGUGUACAUACACACGUUAGUUACCCCAUGUUCUCUGUGUGGUAGAAGCAGACUGCAGUUACCUAAUCUAGUUCUUUCUCUCUUUUUGGGGACUCUUAGACCAGUUUUUAAUUAUUUUUUUUUUUUUCCUUAUUUUGAAAGGAAUGAUGUUUUUUAAAGUCGGGGUUGGAGCUGGGGGGAAGGGAAGGGGUUGGGACAAAGAAAAACCACAACUUUUUUAGUACUGGAUUUUAAAAAGACAUAUUCUCAGUCAUGAGCAGUUACCACUAGGGCUAACUGUGGGCAGGCUCUGCGUUGUUGAAGAUAAAUUUUAGGGCGAGGAUUCAUUACACUAGAAGCAUUAUCUUGCUUGUAAAACAACGAGAUGCAUUUUUUUAAAAGAAAUGGUAUUUGCAUAUCUUUUUAAAUGUCCUUUUUAAAAAAUAAAUAAGUCACCAGCUAGGAUUUGACACAGGCCACUUAGAACUUACCCCUGAUACUGGCAUAACCAAUCCAGACAUAUUUGUUGUUGUAUUUUUGUUUUGUUUUGGAUUUUUUUUAAUAUUUAAAAAAAAGUUACUUUUCUGUAUGAUGUGCAUGCAAAUUUACCGUAACUCUCUUUCUUAAAACUUUUUAGUGCCAUUUCUAGUAUAUUCCUGUAAAUGUCAGUUACUGAAAAGAAAUGAGUCAAUGUAAGUAGUUUAGCUUGUUUAUUGCAAAUUGCUGGCCUCAAACACAACAGAAUUAAAAAAGAGUUAGAAAGUAAUCUUUGAUGUUACUGGUAAUCAUGGACCCUGGUCCUGGGGCAUUUGUUUUGUUUUCAUAAUAAAAAGAAAAAUUGUUUUGUGCGUGCA